rnacentral:rRNA from 1 species
CAAUAGCGUAUAUUAAAGUUGUUGCAGUUAAAAAGCUCGUAGUUGGAUUUCUGGUGGGAGCGAUCGGUCUGGCGCUUAGCGCGAGUACUUGCAUCGUCUCCGGCCAUCCUUGGGGAGAGUCUGUCUGGCAUUAAGUUGUCGGGCAGAGGAUCCUCAUCGUUUACUGUGAAAAAAUUAGAGUGUUCAAAGCAGGCUUAUACCGUUGAAUAUAUUAGCAUGGAAUAAUAAGAUAGGACUUUGGUACUAUUUUGUUGGUUUGCGCACCAAAGUAAUGAUUAAUAGGGACAGUUGGGGGUAUUCGUAUUCCGUUGUCAGAGGUGAAAUUCUUGGAUUUACGGAAGACGAACUACUGCGAAAGCAUUUACCAAGGAUGUUUUCAUUAA